AAUCGCUCUGACAAUGUAGUUCGUAAAUCAUAGUUUUGUGAACAUAAGUGUCAUUUCUGUCCAUUAUAACCUUUGUUGAGUUUAUAUGAGUCAUAGAUUACACUUUUUGAAUUGUUUUGUUAACGCGUGGACUUUAUUUCGUCAAGUGUGUUUUGCGUGACACACCCACAAAUACGUUAGUAGCCAUGAGGCUAACGGAGGAGCUAACUUUUUUGUUUGUUCUCCGAUACAUGAUGCAGGUGUUUUGUACUCUGAGAAGCCAACGUUUGUCCGCUGUCAUCAGUUGGCAGCAAAGUGGACAGCCGUCAACGUUGUGGCUCGGAGAGCGAACACAGGCGACAACAAUCGAACUACUGAAACUCACUGGUCACGCCAUAAAGAGCCAACACUCAGCUUCCAAACAAUGCGAUGGUUCAGCGUGGCGCACAGGAAGUUGUUGACUUGAGGCACCUAAAAACACCCAAAUAAGGAGGGUUUCCUCAUUGACGGAUAUCCUGUGUGAAUCUGACAUUGUCCCGGCCUCUUUGUGCGGCCAUAUCUAUAAUUGGUAUCGUUCAUUUCGCUUUGGAAUUUUUCACCAUUUGAAUAAGGAAGCUCAUGUGGAAUGCUUUGUGUUUGCUGACCUUCACGGCCAGCCCGAGUGGUUGCACAGAAACGUGCACACACACACACUUCUGGAAAGACAUGGCUCCAACUUGAUUGUUCCAAGGAGUUAUUUUAUUUCUUGCGAGUAAUGAAUAUGUUUUAGGCAAAGUGAUAUCAUGCAUGCGGGGGAAAAGAAAUCAGGCAGAAAUUCCCGAAAGAAUCGGGUAUCUGCCAGAUUAAUCAGCGAACAACUUCUGCUUAGAGAAGCAAUUUUUUUGUGCUUAUGAAAAAUGCAAAUCUACUGUAUAUAUUUUUUAUAUAAAUUUAAAAAAAUACUUAAACAUC